rnacentral:rRNA from 1 species
UACGAAGGGGGCUAGCGUUGUCCGGAAUCAUUGGGCGUAAAGAGCGUGUAGGCGGUCCGGUAAGUCCGCUGUGAAAGUCGGGGGCUCAACCCUCGAAUGCCGGUGGAUACUGUCGGGCUAGAGUGCGGAAGAGGCGAGUGGAAUUCCUGGUGUAGCGGUGAAAUGCGCAGAUAUCAGGAGGAACACCUAUUGCGAAGGCAGCUCGCUGGGACGUAACUGACGCUGAGACGCGAAAGCGUGAGGAGCAAACAGG